rnacentral:misc_RNA from 1 species
CGUCUUUCGGAGGGUCAUUCGCAAGGCCCUAGGCGACCUCGCUCAUUUGUACGUUGUUAUUUAUUUCGAUAACGUUCUAAUUAUUGCCGACUCGAUAGAUCAAGCUUUAGGAAGAUUGAACACCGUAUUAGAUACCCUCGUAAAAGCAGGAUUCUCUGUUAACUUUGCGAACUGUUCUUUUCUAAAGACAUCGGUGCUCUAUUUGAGAUAUGUAAUUCAUAACGAAGAAGUUCGUCCGAACCCGGGUAAAAUACACACCUCAAGUUCUUUACCUGUGCCAACGGCCGUCACACAGUUCAGGCAAGUUGAGUGGUAAAAGCGAUUCAAAGGAGUACGUCAUUGUUUUGAUCGAUGUGUUCACUAAAUUCGUAUACCUGCGUCGUACUCGUAAGAUAGAUUUCCGUAACACCAUUAAAGCGCUUAAACCCG